CUUCUGACCAGAACGCCUAAACAAAUUCAAGCCAUGAAAGAGGCUUACCAACUGGAAUAUAAAAAACCAAUGAUAAAGGCUAUCAAUGGAGAUGUGCACGGUAAGGUCCAAAAAUUUCUCGAUGUUCUUCUUAGCCCUGAUCGGGACUCCUCAAAUCAAGUGAAUGCCGAGAGUGCCUUAAAAGCAGCACAAACUUUAUCCUCCGGUAGUCGCAUUUCAAAAUUACUAGGAUCCAAGACAGAUGCCUACAUAAAUAUUC